GGGUGGAAUGUGCUAGUAAAUUGGCUUCAGAAGCUGCACAGGGCCAUUGGACUAUUAGAACUUCAGGACUCUGAGGGUCAAAGAAAAUAGAGAAGGCUUGGGUGUCUAAGAAGCACAGAAAGUAGGGAUCAAGCUGGCUGGGUUGGAGACAAUCAAUGGUGACCUUGAAGACUGCUGAGCUGCUGAGAACAUGAGUCCCUGAAUUAUUGUGUGGAUGAAAGUUGCCCCGCCAACACAUUCCCCUGUCCGGAUCAGCGUCCUCCUGUUCUAUGUCCUUUGGAUUUGCACAAGCACAGAGUGUAUGAUGUUUGCGGCAACAAGGCAGGGACAAUUUAAUGGCAUUUCCACCAGAUUGUGUGAAGACACUCCAACUGCUCUUGGCUCCUUCCCAGUUGCAUUGGCCUCCUUGCCCUCCCACAGGUGGGCUUUCAUACCCAGGGCAGAGCUGGAACACGGCCAUGACUGCUGCAGAAGAGGUCUUUCCUGGACAGACUGGUCAGACGGCACUGGAGCAUUUGUAAUGGGAGGGUUGUUUGUCUUUCCUUCAUCUUUAAGAAGGUCAGAAAAGACCCAGCUCGCUAUGUCCGGGUAAAGAGAAAUGCAAAGAUGAAACUUACCUUACAUCUCUAUACUCCUCCCUUCCCAAUGUUCACCUCGGUAUAUAAAUGGAGUCCCUAACUUUCACUCCUUAAUCCCAACACCAGGUGAUGUUCUUCCGUCUCUAGGGAACCUUUCCUUUCCUUACUUUUCUCAGAUUUACUUCCACAAAAAUCAUCCUCUCAUUCUAUAAAUGGUGCCUUUUUCUUCAUUGUUAUUAUUGCCCUUAUUCUUCAUCUCUAUCUUUGAGAAUAUUCUUUUUUCUCUCUAUAAAAAUAACAACAAAUAUCCUGA